CUGCCCUCGAUUAAAUAUUAAUAAGAAAAAUAGCACUACUAGGCACCACACACAUCUACAUAAAGCACAUUCAAUACAGUGAAAAUAAAAGCAUCACAGCAUAUAUCCAAGGCACACACAGCUGUGUUUUGGUAAUGCAGUGAAAGCACAUUAAGAAUAAGAUGAGGAGAGGAUAUACUUACGGGUUGC